UAGACCUAUAUAAUGGCAGUGGCCUAAAAAAGUUCCACAUAUAGAUUUUAAUUUUUGUACUAUAAAAACUUAUUCUGCAUAAUGAUAGAUCCAGACACAAACCUUACUUCUAAUUAUGCCAUUGUAAUACUGUAUUCAAAACAAAAGUAAAAUAAAUGAUAUACAUAUUUGUAUAAAUAAGAAUAAAAGCUGAUGCGGCAGCACUAUCUCUCAAUUGGUUCAUAGCACUAUCUGUCACUGAGUUCUUAGCACUAUCUGUCACUGGGUUCAUAGCACUAUCUGUCGGUAGGUUCAUAGCACUAUCUGUCACUGGGUUCAUAGCACUAUCUGUCGGUAGGUUCAUAGCACUAUCUGUUGGUAGGUUCAUAGCACUAUCUGUUGGUAGGUUCAUAGCACUAUCUGUCGGUAGGUUCAUAGCACUAUCUGUCGGUAGGUUUAUAGCACUAUCUGUCAGUAGGUUCAUAGCACUAUCUGUCAGUAGGUUCAUAGCACUAUCUGUCAAUAGGGUCAUAGCACUAUCUGUCAAUAGGGUCAUAGCACUAUCUGUCGGUAGGUUCAUAGCACUAAUGGAUUCAUAGCACUAUCUGUCAGUAGAUUCAUAGCACUAUCUGUCAGUAGAUUCAUAGCACUAUCUGUAGGUAGGUUCAUAGCACUAUCUGUCGGUAGGUUCAUAGCACUAUCUGUUGGUAGGUUCAUAGCACUAUCUGUUGGUGGGUUCACAGUGCCUUUUUUAUCAGCGAGGUCAAAAUGCCUUCUGUCAGUGCCCUCUGGAGGCAGAGGGGGAGGUGGGGUUGUUUUUGAUAAGGUAAAAGUUGUUACGGUAUGUCAGUUAAAGAAAUCUCUUAUCAGUAUAAACUUAUGGCACAAGUAACAAGGGUAAAAAAAAACAAUAAAAAAAGUUAUAUAGCAACAAAAUAUUGAAUAUGUAACUUAAGUAGGUGCACAAAAA